rnacentral:lncRNA from 1 species
AAUUCAUAUAACAUAGUGGAAAACUGAAGUAAUAUAACUCGGGCAACUUACAUUAUUACUAAGGUAGUUUCAACACUUAGGAAUGUUACAAUACUGAUCGGAUCAGAACAUACACAUCACUAAUAGAACUUUCUCAAGUGUUCAAUGUUCCACUGAUGAGACAGCACCUUCCUUGCCAUGUCUUCAAUUUCAAAAGUGUCGGGCCGUGACUCCUUGCGGAUGCGACAAAGACCUUCCCAGUUCGGUCCAAACAUUCGGAACCGGUUGGCUUCGAUGAUUGGAAGACCCUUUUGAGGACGAGGUCCCCCAGAUGAAGAGUUCGAUUUCUGACUUUGGAAUUGUAAUAGCGAGUCAUCUUUCUUUGAUACUUGGCCAAUUUCAUUUGGUACGAAUCUCUCCUUUCUUCAAGAAGGUGGAGUUCGUACACUCAAGUUUCAUUGUUGCCGAUCUCAUUGAAAUGUAUCUGACGUUUAGAGGGGAUUCCCACCUCGACAGGACUCAUGGCUUAGGAUCCGUAGGUCAUGGAGAAGGGUGUUUCACCUGUUGCAGUUCGACAAGUUGUUCAAAUGGCCCAGAGGACAUGGGAAAGCUCAUCGACCCAUGCCCCUUUCGAGGCGUCAAACUUCCUUUUCAAGGUAUGCUUGAUAGCCUGGUUCCUUGGGGGUGAUAAGGUGUUGAGAAGUCCUUCCUUAUGCUGAUUUCGUCACACAAGUUUCCCAUCUUUUCGUUAUCGAAUUGCCUUCCGUUGUCAGAUACUAAAGAGUGGGGAAUGACGAACCUGCAAAUGAUGUUCUUCCAAACGAACUUUGUGGUGUUCACUUCAAUUAUUCUUGCUAGAGGUUCAGCUUCGACCCACUUGGUGAAGUAGUCAGUGGCAAUGAUGGCAAAAAUAGUGCUUCAUCUCCCUUUUGGGAGUGGGCCAAUAAAGUCGAUGCCCCAUUUGACGAACAGCCAUGGGCUGGUCACCACGAAGAGGCUCUGAGAAGGCUGCCUUUGAAUGUUUGAGAAGCACUGACACUUGUCACAUUUUUUAACAAACUGUCAAGUCCCUUUUCAGGGUCAGCCAGAAGUAGUCUUGUUGAAAUACUUUGUGCGCCAGAGCUGUUCCUCCAGAAUGAUUACCACAGACUUCUUCAUGGAUCUCCCUGAGUAUAUACAUGGCUUUUCCCUUCCAACGCAUCAGAGAAGUGGAGAGGCAAAGCCCCUUUUGUAGAGCACAUCAUCCUGGGGAACAAAGUGAGCAGCCUUUCUCCUCAAUUUCUUCGUAUUGCUUUUUGAGGCUGGCGGUGAUUGAUCUUUGAGGUAAGCUACGAUGGGUUGCAUCUAAAAUGGGGUGCCUUCAAUCCAUAGUACCUCUUCGCCUCCAGAGAUAGAGGGCUUCGGUAGGCGCUCAAUUGGGACAAUUUUUAAUCCCUGCUGCUAGCCAAUUUGGACAGGGCAUCAGCAUGUGUAUUUUCGAGGCAUGGGGACUUGAACCAGUUCGAAUCUCUCAAAGUGAGGAACUAGGUUCAGAAUCAAUUUCAGAUACGCAGCCAUGCCACUGUCUUUUGCUGCAAAUUUUCUCUUGACCUGAGUUACCACAACCUGCGAGUCGCUAUUUACUAAGAGCCUUUUGACUUGUAUUUCUUUCGCUAGUCUAAGGCUUGCUAGGAGGGCCUCAUAUUUCGCACGUUGUUUGAGGCUUUGAAAUCGAUCCUGAUUGCGCAGUUUAGCUUAUAGCCCUCUGAGCUUUCCAAAAUGACUCCUACUCCGGAGCCAGUUUCUCUUAACGAUCCAUCCACAAAUAGGUUCCAUGUUGGGGGCUUGGUUAGUUCCAUCGUCACUUCUCUUUAUGGGCCUUUGGCAAGCUCAGCCACAAAAUUUGCCAGAGCUUGGCCCUUGAUGGCUUUUUGAGGUCGGAACAAUAGGUCGAACUUGCUGAGCUCGAUUGUCCAUUUUAGCAAACGGCCCGAAGCGUACUUAUUUCAAGGGGAAGUUGGUGAGCACUUCCAUUGAAUGGGCCUGAAAGUAUGGCUUCAAUUUCUUUGAUGUUGUAACAAGGGAGAGUGCAAGUUUUUCCAUAUCUGGGUAGCGUGCCUCUGUUAGGAGUAGUGCCUUGCUAACAUAGUACACCGACAGUUGAUGCGUGUUUUCCUCUCUGACAAGGACCACGCUAACGCCUCGUCUGAGACCGCUAAGUACAGCAGCAGGGGUUCUCGUAGUUCAGUUUGGAUAGUAGGCGUGCCUCUCCUAAGUGCUUCUUCUGUGCUUGGAAGGCUUCCUCACACUCAUCCGUCCAUUGGAACUUCUUUCCUUGCUUCAUGACUUUGAAGAAGGGUAGACUCUUGUCAGUAGCCUUAGAGAUGAAGUGGCUGAGUGCGGCUAUCCGACCAUUAAAGCUUUGGACCUCCUCUGGCUUCUAA